rnacentral:tRNA from 1 species
UGGAUUUUUAGUUUAUUUAAAACAAAUGUUUUGAAAACAUUUAAAGGAAGGUUAUUCCAAUUUCC